UACAGAGGGUGCGAGCGUUAAUCGGAAUUACUGGGCGUAAAGCGUGCGUAGACGGUCUUGUAAGUCGGGUGUGAAAUCCCCGGGCUCAACCUGGGAACUGCAUCCAAAACUGGCAGGCUAGAGUAUGGUAGAGGGUGGUGGAAUUUCCUGUGUAGCGGUGAAAUGCGUAGAUAUAGGAAGGAACACCAGUGGCGAAGGCGACCACCUGGACUGAUACUGACACUGAGGUGCGAAAGCGUGGGGAGCAAACAGG
rnacentral:rRNA from 1 species